rnacentral:rRNA from 1 species
UACGGAGGGUGCAAGCGUUGUCCGGAUUUAUUGGGUUUAAAGGGUGCGUAGGCGGUCAAUUAAGUCAGUGGUGAAAUCCCUCAGCUCAACUGAGGAACUGCCAUUGAAACUGUUUGACUUGAGUACAGACGAGGUAGGCGGAAUGAGUCAUGUAGCGGUGAAAUGCAUAGAUAUUACACAGAACACCGAUAGCGAAGGCAGCUUGCCAGACUGCGAUUGACACUAAUGCACGAAAGCGUGGGUAGCGAACAGG